rnacentral:lncRNA from 1 species
AUGUGAGAUGUUUUACGAAGCAUACAUGUAUAACCUGCCUGUUUGGACUCUCAUGAUUGUCCCAGCUCUGCUAACUUACAGGGGUAUUAUGGAUGGAGCACCUCCCCUUUCCAUUUUCUUCCCCACCUAAUGAGAAUGUAAUACAUAGCCUUGAUGGCCUCUUGCAGCCUAACUAUAUGAUUCUAACACUGUUCCUUCACUCUUCCCUUAUUUGUAGUGUUAAACUAAUAAUAGUACCAUGAUGAUAGCCUCCUUGUAAGAAUU